CCCUGCCAUUUGUACACACCGCCCGUCGCUAGUACCGAUUGAAUGGCUUAGUGAGACCUCCGGAUUUGCGGUCUUUUGAUGGCAACAUCAUUAGGCUGCGGAGAAGCUGGUCAAACUUGGUCAUUUAGAGGAAC
rnacentral:rRNA from 1 species